UACGUAGGCAGCGAGCGUUGUUCGGAGUUACUGGGCGUAAAGGGUGUGUAGGCGGUUGUUUAAGUUUGGUGUGAAAUCUCCCGGCUCAACUGGGAGGGUGCGCCGAAUACUGAAUGACUAGAGUGCGGGAGAGGAGAGUGGAAUUCCUGGUGUAGCGGUGGAAUGCGCAGAUAUCAGGAAGAACACCCGUGGCGAAGGCGGCUCUCUGGAACGCAACUGACGCUGAGACGCGAAAGCGUGGGGAGCAAACAGG
rnacentral:rRNA from 1 species